GAUUAGAUGAUUAGAAACCACUACUACUGAACAGCUUGUAACUCAACAUAGGGAAAAUUACCUGCGGGUAAUAUCAGGGUAGUUAGAAGACUCUAGGAUCAGUGAAUCUAUACGAAAAACAUGCUAGUUUCUCCCCUUUACCACACUAAAGGCAAAACCUGCCCACAAAGUCCCACAGCCUUUUAUUAUGGGAGUAGGGGAGACUCUUGAAGGUAAAGCAGUGACCUGAACCAGCCGUCAAUACUGAACAAUCUAGAUCUUUAUUUAAAAAGAUGAAGACAAUGAUGAAAUACUGGAUAUUUGAGGAAAAUUAGCAGUGCUGAACAGAGGACUCAUACUAAAAUAAGCAGAGCAAAUAGCCCAGAAAUCAGUUAAUGUGAAAAAAAAAAAAGAAACUGAAAAUUUUUAGUUUCUAGAGAAAGGAACAGUGAAAAACAGUUAACGAUUAAAAAUUUGAUUUUGGCCCUUAGAGGCCAAAAAAUAUAGAGGGUACUAGAAUCCAGAGUGCUAAGUUGACUCCAAAGCUGUAAUCAGAACACUUGCUGACCUAGAUGCUUAUAUUUAAAGGUCACAUGCUUUUGAGGAGAGAGAUCUUUGGGCAUCCACUAGAUGGGAAGUUGGAAUUGAGGCCUCUGCAUGAGGCCGAGGCUCUUCAAGAUAAGUCUUUAAUGAAAGAGAGUCCAGAACAUGAAAUUUAACUUCCAGCAGAGAACAUCAGAGACAUUUUCUUCUCAUGGCAUUUGGGUGUGAGACUAAAAAGUAAGCCUGUCUUCAUGUGGGUUUGAGAUUCUAAUAUAUACUAUCUGUCUAGUUCAGGAAACUGCAGGCAGAGAAAAUUAUUUAAAAAUAGUCAAAUGUUGAUAGUGCUGCAAAGCAUCUAAUAGAAACAAAAGUUAAUACUCUUUAGGGGGAUGCACCUUCAAGAUAAGCCUUUUAGUAUGACUGUUGGUAAAGCAUGAAUGAAAUGCUUUGGAGAAAAUCAGCAAUCAUGAGCAAGAGUAAGCAGGAAAAACAGCAAAAUUAGACGUCUGUGAUAUUGAAAUUACUAGGUAAGAGUAUGGAAUAUAUAUAUAAAUGUUUAAAGAAAUAAAAUGGAGGAUUAAAAAACAUGAGCAAGAGACAAAAUGCUGUCAAGUACGAGGAAGAUUUGAAAAAGAAGAGAACUUUUAGAAAUUAAAAAUAUAAUAAUUGAAAUGGAAAAACAUUGAACGGCUUAAAUGGAUUAAACCCAGCUGAAGAGAGAAUUAAUGAACUUGAAGACAGAUUUGGAAAAACAGAUAUGGAAACAUGAAAGACGUGUUUAGAGUCAGAAGAAUAAACAUGUCUAAUAUAUGGGAAGUCGGAGUUCAGAAAAGGAGAACGAGGAGACUGACAGUCCAUAUCCAAAGAAGGAAUGAGAAUUUUCCAAAAUUAAAAAAUGUGAAUCAUUAGGCUGAAAAAACACAGUGAAUCCAGAAGAAGAAAAAUAACUGGAUAAUGUUAAGGACAAAGAGAAAAUAAAAGUAACCAGAAAUAGAUUAUCUGCAAAGGUAUAAAAUUAGACCAGUAGCAGACUUCUAAACUCCAACAAUAGAUGCUGUAAGUUGAGAAUUCAGCCUUCAAAUACUAAAAGAAUACAGAUACCAUCCUGGAAGUAACUAGCAAAAUCAUUCAAAAACAAGUGUUUUGAAAUAUAUUUUCAGACAUAUCAGAUUGGUAAAAAUUUAAAACUCUGACUAUAUUGUGUUGGUGAGCUUGUGUAGCAACAAGAACUCUUAGCUUGCAGAAGUAUAAACUAUUUUUCGAUAGUAAUUUAGCAAUAUCUAGUAAGUUUGAAUGCACAUUUCUCCAGUGACCCAGAAAUUCUACAUAUAUAUAUAUAUAUAUGAAUAUACCUUAUAUACCUUAGCAUUGUUUAUUGAUCUGUUUUGACCAUGACAUAAAUCAAAAUUUCAGGAAACAAAAUUUACUGUUACUGUGUACAGUACACUUUGAUCUAUCUCUGUGCCUUACUACUUUGUUCAUUUUCUUCCCUUUUCCCUUUACUCCUCACCACUCUUUUUUUAAAGCUUCCUGUGACCUUGACCUACUAACAUGAUUAUAUUGGUAGGUUGUAAGCUAUAGUUUGAAAAACACUCCCUUAAAGAAACUCACACAUAAGUGUAAUAAGGAUGUUCAUAACAGUAUUGUUUGUAAAAGUGAAAAACUGGAAGCAAUCUUAAGCCCUAAUAAAUGGAGAGUGUAUAAAUAAACUGUGGUAUAUCCAUGUAAAGGUGCAGAAGAAUAUAUAAAGUAUGAUAUAUGAAACUUAAAAAUGCAAAGCAAUACUAUGUAUAGCUUUAUGGAUAUACACAUAUAUAAAAUAUAUAAGGAAAUCCAUGGUAAUGAUAAACACCAAACUUAGGUUAUCUCUGGGAGGAAAAGAAAGGUAUUUCUCUUAUCUAGAUAGCACUUUUUUCUUAAGCUGGGGGGUGGAUACACAGCUGUUUAUUAAAUAAUAUCAUACACUCCUUCGUAUGUCUAAAAUAUUUCACAAUAUAUUUUUAAAAAAGAGAGGUAAUGAUAUUGACAGAUUGAGAUUUCUCUCAGGGAAUAGAGCAAAAAGAGUUGAAUGUUAUGGGAGAAAAGUUUGAGACCUAUAAAAUAGAUCCAAGAGAUCACUAUCUGUGAAAUAGGAAUUCCAGAAGUGAAAAAUACAUACUGCAAAAGCAGUAGACAAUGAAAUGGUAGAGUAAAAUUUUCCUGAGCUGAAGAAUGCCAUCAAAUAAGAUAUACUGAAAUCAAAUUUCUGGUAAAAUCAAAUAUUGGUCAAACUUUGAAUUCCAAGGAUCAAAAGAAAAUCAAGUUUCCAGAUAGAGUAAAUAGGCUCACCCUAAAGCAAAAGAAGUAUCAGAUUGGCAUCUGAGUUUUCUUAUGCAGCACUGGAUACUAAGGAACAGUAGAGAAAUUCCUGUAGGAUUCUAAGGUAUAAGUACUACGACCCUAAGGUUCUGUAUGCAACAAAAGUGUUUUAAAGUAUGAAGACAGAUAUAUAUUCUUUCCAAGGCAUUCUGAACUACAGCACUUAUGGAUAAAUGAAUAUAUUAUUUGGAAGUACUUAAGCAAAAUGAAAUGAAAUGAAAUGAUAAGUAAUGGCUUCUGUUCUGCACAUGAGAAUUCUGGAUGGAAAAAAGAAAGGUAUACAUUAAGCAUAGAUGAACAAAAUCAAACAACAAACCGAAACAGUCAAUGAAACUUAUGGUUAAGUCUAAAAAAUUGUUAAUAAUAUACUUUGAUGUACAUUUGAGGUAUAAUAUAACUAGAGAAAAUAUUCCUAAUAAAAUGGAAGCUAUGAAAAAAUGACAACUAGGAAAUAAGAUUUUAGAUGAUUUAAUAAUAAUAAAACCUGUUCUCUAGCAGGUUAUGAGUAGAGGGAGGAAAGUAAAAGAAUACUAUGCAUAGUUUGCUGUGCAAAGUAUUUCUAUUCAUAGAACUACAGAAGUGGAUACUUUUUACUUUACUUAUGAAGAAAUAUAGAUGGAAAUACAUGUUGAAAGUUUGAGGAGUCUUUUGUUAGAAGAUGGCAGAUGAUCAGUUCUCCCAACCUUCUCCAUAUUUGCUUGAAAUGACUAAAAAUGUCUUUUUUUUAAAAAAAUUAAGCCUAUAACAGCAUUGGGCAGCAAGAAAGGGUUACAUUGAUAUAGCAGAUUUUGGGGAAUUCCCUGAAGAUAGAAAGUAGAUGGAAUGAGAGGUGCAGAGAAACAAGAGCAGAGAAAAACCACAACUGAAAUUGAGAAGUUUUUCCUUGGUGGGCCUCAAGAAACUCCAUUUGUGUUGUUAACAGUUUCAAAGGAUUGAAGUGGUCUGUGGGGUAAUCAUCAGAGUAAUUAAUUUAAAAACUGCCUGUGCCAGCUGGACUCCGUUCUUCUUCAUUUGUACAGAAUGACUGUCAGCCAGGGAUAUUUGUCUCUAGGAUAGAGUCAUGGCUUCUGUUCUGCACAUGAUGAAUCUGGAGAAGGCUUCUGGUUGUGUGUGCUGGGGUUGGAGAGUAGCAAAGCAGAGUUUGAGAACACAAAGGGGAGGAAAGGGAAAAUGGUUCCACAUGUAUGAAAUACAAUAAAACACUCCACCCCGAAAGUAAAGUCUUCCUAUUGUUUGCUGUCUUGGAGGUUCCAGACCACAACCUGCUUUAUGACAACACAUUCUAAAUUAAAACCUCUUGAUAUGCUCUGCCCACUCACAUUCAUCCUGAAAUCAGCUCUCUCAUUCAGGGAAGAUUCCUUCAGAGAGGGACAGACCUACAGAUCUAUGAGAAACCCAGGUUAUUUAGAUAGCUCUGGAACACCAUUCACAAAUUUGGAAUACCAAUGAUUACCAGAACACCAACAAUAUCAAUAGAAAAUGAACUGAGAGAAAAAUUGACUCCUGGAAAAUGAGAAUGAUACAAGAAGUAGGUAGAACUUAAAUGUAAUUUGUAUCCUUAGAGAGAUUUAAGGGGAUAAAGCAGCUGAAAAAAUAAAUCAGGCUAUUCUGAAAGAAGCGAUCUGCAGAGUUCUCAGAAUCAAAAAAAUUGCUAAAAUAAAAAAUAUUCAAGGGAAGGGCUGAAAGUUGAAUUAAUGAUUUAGAAGUAAGGUUGAGGAAACAUCCUAGAACCCAAAGUUAAAAAGAUGGAGAUUGAAAUAUGAGCAUAUGUUUAAGUUACAUGGGGCAUGGAACCAGGUAUGUGUUCCAGGGAUGCCAGGGAGUGUUAUAUGAAUAUUACAAAAGGUGAGUUAGAUCAAUAUAUACAGAUGUGAAAAGAUGGUCAAGAUACAUACAGUGAAGAAGCAAGUUGUGAGAAUAGUAUGUUUAGUAUAUUUGUGAUCAGAAAUCAUAUGCAUGUUCAAAUAUGCAAAAGAAAGAUAAAAGGACAUGAAUGAUCUUUUGAGAAAAGGAUGGAGGGAUGAGAGAAUACUUUCCAUUUUUCUUAAAACAUAACGCUGUUUUAUAAGGAGCAUAUUUUUACUUAAAAAAUAGAGCAUUAAAAGUUAUGUUGAGGGGAAAGGAGAGCAACAUGAGGUUAGCAGCGGUUUCCUAAGCCAUUGAUUUACACAUAGUCUCAAGUCCAUAAUUUUCUCUGUAACAUACAACUUUUCUGUUAAUUCUUAGCAAGCGUCUCCUUCCCUCACUUCAUAGACUCUCAGAAGGGUAUUUUCACACACUUCUCUGAACCUUCUUUACCCAGAGUAUUGGGGUUGAGGUGGCUAAUUCCUUCAUUACAUGUGGAUUUUGUGAGAGAGGAUAUGUAUGUGGAGAAUACCUUAAAGUAAGGAUAUCUUCUAGAUAUUGCUUUAUUAAUAAAGGGUAGUAUCAAUCCAACAUCUUCUGUAGAAUGAGUCAGGAUGUAAAUAAAUUAAAAUAAUGAGUAGUAAAGGGAAAAAUAAGAAUUCUAUAUUCAAGAUUUUGAGUAUAUCCUGCUGGGAGUUUUUGGGUUGAGAGUAGGAAUUGGUCAAUAUUAGAACAUAUGAGUGUAAUCACAGAGGUGUGAAGUGGUGUUCUGGACCACCUGAAAGGCCCCAUCCUUUUUGUGAGGAGAUGGAUAUGAUCCUUGAUCUCAAUAUGCUACAUCUACUAUAAACUUCUGGACCCUCCGCCAUCAUUCAGGAUGCUUCUCUAGUGGUUGAAGAAGUGGAGGAUCACAUGGGAGAGUGCCUGAGGAUCCUUGCCUGGGACAAGUUGUGGGAAGAAAAGUCUUGCAGUGUGGGCACUAGGAAAAAGAGCUCUUUUAUUCCAUCUUGUCUUCCAGUCCGUUUUGAAUCAAGAAAUACUCAGUGAAAACUGCUUUGAGAAGAGUCUGUUUUGAAGAAGGAAAAAGAAAUACUGUUGAGAGAAGGCAUACAGACCAGAAGGGUGAUAGAAACAUGUGUUUUUGGUGUGUGUGUAACACCAACAGGACUUCAUAGAGAGAAAUGGAGAGCUAAGAAGGGAGAAAAUUAAGAAAUGACUGAAAUUUGUGGGGCCUGAUGGGAAAAUGCUGGCCAUCUACUAAUAUGGAAAGACAGUUGAUGCUUCAGUCCCAGGACUUUUUGUCUCUGCUGCACAGUUACCAUAAACUCUUCUCACAUUCAGAACUAUCCCUUUAUCCUCUGUGAAUGAUGGCACUCUUGCUUCUAUUUCAGCAGUGCUUCCAAGGAUGAAUGAAAACAUACAGUGUCUGCCAAAACCUAAAAAGUAUAGUUUAUUUAUCACUAGAGCUUUGUAAGCUACCCCUCCUGCGUUUUAAAAUUCUGUACUUUGCAGAACCGGCCAUUGUAGGGUGUUUUUUGUUUUUUGGGUUUUUUUGGUCAAUAAAUAUUAGAUUUUCAAGAUGAAGUAUAAU